rnacentral:rRNA from 1 species
AUGAAUGCUGGCGGCGCGCCUAACACAUGCAAGUCGAGCGGUAAGGCCCUUUCGGGGGUACACGAGCGGCGGACGGCUGAGUAACGCGUGGGAACAUGCCCCAAAGUGAGGAAUAAGCUCCAGAAAUGGAGUCUAAUGCCGCAUAUGAUCUUCGGAUUAAAGGAUUUAUCCGCUUUGGGAGUGGCCUGCGUAUGAUUAGAUUGUUGGUGAGGUAAUGGCUCACCAAGUCUACGAUCAUUAACUGGUCUGAGAGGAUGAUCAGUCAGACUGGAACUGAGACACGGUCCAGACUCCUACGGGAGGCAGCAGUGAGGAAUCUUCCACAAUGGGCGAAAGCCUGAUGGAGCGACGCCGCGUGCAGGAUGAAGGCCUUCGGGUUGUAAACUGCUUUUAUAAGUGAAGAAUAUGACGGUAACUUAUGAAUAAGCACCGGCUAACUACGU